rnacentral:hammerhead_ribozyme from 1 species
AUCCAGCUGAUGAGUCCCAAAUAGGAAGAAACUCGCGUCUUAGAU